GCCGGCUUGGGCGGCUGGGCUGCUCGCUGCUGCUGACCGACGCUCCGCCCCGCAGCUCGGUUGGCUCCCGGGUUCGGCCUUGGAGUACGUUCGCCAAACGCUUCCUCGCUCUGCUCGUUUCGGUUUCACGCAAACGCCUCAGCCGUCUCUUUGAUUGCUGUGUUUAUUUAUUUGUUAAUCACGAGGGAAGCGUUCGCAGAGAACUGCCAAAGCCCCUGAUGGUGACGUUCUUCGUUCGCGGCCUCUUUGUCCUCAGUGCAGGGCUGCGUGCUGCUGCGCACAUCCUUUAGCGGAGUGAUUUCUACAAUGGGCUCUUCCAGCACCUAGAGACAAUUCUGUAUCAUCACCCAACAGCACUGAAUAUAAUGAAAACAGCCAUGGGAACCUUCAUACAGAACUCCAGAGAAACAUCCAUUUCCAGCCAUGGAGUAAGCCUUGGAAGAAAUUCUGGGAGAAGGAGGAUGUGUAGCAGCUGUCCUUGCUGCGGAAGAAUGAAGAAUCACUACAGUCUUGAUUUGAGGAACAGUUCAGACCAUAUCUUGGGGUUUUAUUUCUGCUUUCCCUUUGAUAAACUUUAGCCUCUGGAGUGCUUGGGGUUUAGGUCCCUGGGACUUUUGUGGUAGGUGCUGCAUCCAGCACGCAAUGCACGCAAAGCACAGUAUAGUUGCUAAAUAGGGGCAAUUAAAUUUAGAAGUUUCUGUAGCCAUGCAGGCACUGACACCCAUCCUUGGUCUUUAUUACACAAAUUAGCUGAGUGAAAUAAAGGAGAUUAUUAAAUAAUUACACACGUGCAUGUGAGUAAAGAGUCUUAAAACAUUGGAAAAAUACGGUUGAAUUUUCCACUGCCCAGCUGUGGGUUUUUCAGCACACGCAUUCUGUCAGAAUCUGGACAUUUUAUUUGCAAAUGCCUGGCCCGCCUGUUAGUGUGAUGUGGAGAUUUUCUCUCUUUCCCUGAUUAUCUGAUUUUGAAUCAGCAAAAUGCUCACUUUUGCCUCGUGCCAUCUGAGUAGAUGAGAAAAGAGAAAGCGGAUGGAGGCAGAAGUUGCACAGUUCUGAGGGACUGCAGUCCCCUACUCUGUGUGCUGGGGCAAAUGUGGGAAAUGGUCUUCACAGAUGUGAGCUGUUGUUUCUGCUUCUGUGGUGUCUUAUUCUUCAGAGACCUGUUGUUUCAGGCAUUCAGCCUCACUGCUUUGCAGUUUCUCUUCCCUUAACAUUUUCUUUCUUGUAAGUAAUCACUUAAUGGCAUGGCAGAGCCCAGGAAAAUCACUGUUAAUAUUAUAAUAACAUAAUCUGCAGCUCUGACUGGUAUCCUUUAGUUUGGGGAAAUAAUGUGUAGUUUUGCCAAAUCUACAAUUGGAAUGGGAAACAUGUAAAGCUCUGGUCAUUUUAUUUUACAGUUUGGAACACCCUGUAUUAAAGGUACUGGAUUUGUAGCAGGGAUGUGUUGUUAAUUAUCAUUAGACCUCUGCUUUUGAUUAAUACUGGUAAUUAGUUUCUGUCCUUGACUUUUUCCAAUUAAGGAGUAGAUGCCUUGGUGCUAAACACCUGGGCAUAUUGUCUAAUUAUAUGAAAGAAACACAUAUUCUCUCUGUAGGUAAUUAUUUUAACUGUCAGUGGUAGUUUUGUACUUAACGGAGGUGGCUCUGUCUCUCUGAGCAACGACACAGGAAGCCUCAAGACACCAGGAAAAAUGCUGCAGAAUGAACAGAGUGCUGGGUGUGAGCUGCUUCCUGCUGGGUAUUUUCUUGACAUGAGAGAAAGAAUCACCCUUCUACUUCUUGCAGAUCUAGGGCUCUGAAAGGAGGAAAUAGAACAAAAUAAAAACCAAAGGAAAGAAAUAUAAGACUG